rfam:Trachymyrmex cornetzi contig3500, whole genome shotgun sequence.
GUGAGCCGUAUGCAGGGCGAUCUGCACGUACGGUUCUUUUAGGGGGUAGCUUCGUGAGAUGU